rnacentral:rRNA from 1 species
UAAAGGAAGCGAUUCCGGCUACGGAUGGUCAUGCGUCGCAUUAGCUAGUUGGCGGGGUAACGGCCCACCAAGGCGACGAUGCGUAGGGGUUCUGAGAGGAAGGUCCCCCACACUGGUACUGAGACACGGACCAGACUCCUACGGGAGGCAGCAGUGAGGAAUAUUGGUCAAUGGCCGCAGGGCUGAACCAGCCAAGUCGCGUGAGGGAUGACGGUCCUAUGGAUUGUAAACCUCUUUUGUCAGGGAGCAAAGGGCGCCACGUGUGGCGCUUUGCGAGUACCUGAAGAAAAAGCAUCGGCUAACUCCGUGCCAGCAGCCGCGGUAAUACGGAGGAUGCGAGCGUUAUCCGGAUUUAUUGGGUUUAAAGGGUGCGCAGGCGGAAUGUCAAGUCAGCGGUAAAAUUUCGGGGCUCAACCCCGUCGUGCCGUUGAAACUGGCGUUCUUGAGUGAGCGAGAAGUAUGCGGAAUGCGUGGUGUAGCGGUGAAAUGCAUAGAUAUCACGCAGAACUCCGAUUGCGAAGGCAGCAUACCGGCGCUCAACUGACGCUCAUGCACGAAAGCGUGGGUAUCGAACAGGAUUAGAUACCCUGGUAGUCCACGCAGUAAA